CGGCGUGCUUAACACAUGCAAGUCGAACGGAGUGCCCAUGACAGAGGUUUUCGGCCAAUAGGAUUGGGUUACUUAGUGGCGGACUGGUGAGUAACGCGUGAGGAACCUGCCUUUCAGAUGGGGACAACAGCUGGAAACGGCUGCUAAUACCGAAUACGUUCUUUUUGUCGCAUGGCAGAGGGAAGAAAGGGAGGCUCUUCGGAGCUUUCGCUGAAGGAGGGGCUUGCGUCUGAUUAGCUAGUUGGAGGGGUAACGGCCCACCAAGGCGACGAUCAGUAGCCGGUCUGAGAGGAUGAACGGCCACAUUGGGACUGAGACACGGCCCAGACUCCUACGGGAGGCAGCAGUGGGGAAUUUUGGACAAUGGGGCAACCCUGAUCCAGCCAUGCCGCGUGCAGGAUGAAGGUCUUCGGAUUGUAAACUGCUUUUGUCAGGGACGAAAAGGACUGUGCCAAUACCACAGUCUGCUGACGGUACCUGAAGAAUAAGCACCGGCUAACUACGUG
rnacentral:rRNA from 1 species